ACAGUGUGUCUGAGAUCGGAGU
rnacentral:miRNA from 12 species